rnacentral:rRNA from 1 species
UACAGAGGGUGCGAGCGUUGUUCGGAAUACUGGGCGUAAAGCGCGCGCAGGCGGCCUUUUAAGUCUGACGGUGAAAUGCCGGGGCUCAACCCCGUGCCCGCCGCGGAUACUGGGAGGCUGGAGACAUGUAGAGGCAAGCGGAAUUCCGGGUGUAGCGGUGGAAUGCGUAGAGAUCCGGAAGAACACCGGUGGCGAAGGCGGCCUGCUGGGCAGUUGCUGACACUGAGGCGCGACAGCGUGGGGAGCAAACAGG